rnacentral:SRP_RNA from 1 species
GGGCGGUUACGGACGUACCGCUUGCCAAUCCGGUCAGGACCGAAAGGUAGCAGCCGUAACAAGUCUGGUCCGGGUCGUUGACCGUUCUUC